rnacentral:rRNA from 1 species
CUAUUAUGCUGAUGUCUCUGUACUGCAGCAUAUGUUAAAUAUGCUAGUCCUUUCAUGAUUAUGUGAUAGGUGGUGCAUGGCCGUUCUUAGUUCGUGGAGUGAUCUGUCUGCUUAAUUGCGUUUCACUAAGGGUCCAUAUAAUUAUGUACGUUGCGGCGCUUUGACCCCUAUGCAUCUGCUCAUCGUUAGUUAGUAUGCUAUAGCGCGAGUCUCUGUCUGCUUAGCUCGUGCGGUUGGAUCCUGAAAGCAACGAACGUGACCGCAACCUCUUGUUGCCUUUAAUACUACACAACAAUGCGUCAUCUACUAUUUUGUAGUAUGACCAUUGUAAAAAAGGCUUUUUAAACUAGAGGGACCGCUGUUACUUUCUUAAACCAGAGGAAGGUUGCGGCAAUAACAGGUCUGUGAUGCCCUUAAUGUUCCAGGCUGCACACGUGCUACAAUGAUUAUUGCAGUGAGCAUCUCAUUUUUAACACAUCGCAAGCGCGAGUCCAUUUAUGCAGGUUCUAGCUUAUCAUGGUUAGUAAUCUGUUUUAAAUGUGUAUCUCUGCGCGCGAUAAAGCCUGCUUCGAAAGUAAGUGGGUAAUCAAUUAGAAGUAAUGAUUUCCAUUUUUUUACAGCACGAAUAUAUGUGGCGACUUUUCUCCAGCCAGCCUUGUUGCUGGAUUCUUGUGUGAAUUGUUGUUUUUUUAUCCACAUGUGCAAUUGUCAAUUCAUGGUGGGGACAGACCAUUGUUAAUUGUUGGUCUCGGUCUUAACUAGGAAUGCCUUGUACGGGUCUUUGGUUCAACAAACCACCCGGAAUACGUCCCUGCCCUUUGUACACACCGCCCGCCGCUCUUACCGAUGGACUUCUCUGUGAGUUUCAAGGACUGGGGUUUCAUUUAUUUGCUAACUCUAUGGAAAUUGAAACGAACAGUGUGGUCUAAAGGAAAGAGAAGUCGUAACAAGGCAUCGGUAGGUGAACCUGCAGAAGGAUCA